rnacentral:lncRNA from 1 species
AUGGCGAUGACUCCAAGAAAAAUAGUUUCUAAUGUUUUAAAACUAUUUAUUAUUUUCUUUAUUCAACAAACACUUUGUGAGAGACCCACCACUAGUUUAUCUUCAACCCAGAAGUUAUCGGAGGACAGGAAUGAGAUCCAUAUGAGAAGUGUCAUCCCCACCAAGCCGUCAACUCAACAGGCAAGACUGCACCCGGGGGUCAUUGCAGCUGUGAUAUUCGUUACAUUUGCUGCAGUUCUUGCUGCAGUUUUUAUCAUCAGAAAAUACUGCUUUCCCCGCAGCGAGGCCACAUACAGGUACUCAGUGCUGAGGCGGAUGGAAGCUGAGGGGUCAGGAGGAACUGAGGAGGAGGAGGAGGAUGGGCCCGGGCCCUACACACUGGGGGAGGACUCUGAUGAGGAUAUGUUGGAGUGAAUCAUCAUUCGGAUGACACUGCUCUGCGCUCAGGUUAGCUGAGGUCGACUGUGAAGUGUGUGCCGAAAUGGCUGGGCUCUUUUGCAUUGACUAGUUACAACAGGGCUAUUAUCCACUGAUGCUGGUUCUAAUUCAGGGAAUUGUUGUCAUGACAUGCAUACCUUAUUCUACACAUCUAGACUGUUAAUAAUAUUUGUAAAUAUAUAACCGAUACCAAUGGCAAGCAGACCAAAAUAACCAUUCUUCACAAGUAUAGAAGCUGUGUCUGCACUGUAUUCCGCAAUCAAAUGUUUCUAUUUGUUACUGACCUCUUCAAGCACUGUUUCAGUUGUUGAGUAUUGUCGUGUCAUCUUUAAGUAUUAUUCACACGUUUAAUGUAAAGUAUGUGGUACUAUGUUAACGUAACACAGCUGCCCAGGUUUUGUCUUUAAGACACAAGCUGUUGUGGUUACGUCCUUUAAUUCUUAUAAUUUUUUUUGUCAUUUAGCUCUUAUCCAGAGCGACUUAACAGUAGUGAGUGCAUACGUUUUUCGUUGUUUAUUUUCUUUUUUUAUAUAUUGUAUAAACAUGUUGUAUAAAUGUAUUUCCCCCUGAGCAGAAAUUAAUAUGUCAAUCAAUCAAUCAAAUGUAUUUAUAAAGCCCUUCUUACAUCAGCUAAUGUCACAACGUGCUGCACGGAAACCCAGCCUAAAACCCCAAACAGCAAGCAAUGCAGGCGUAUAAGCACGUGUUUGCCGUUCUGUGUUUAGUGUUUGCAGUUCUGUUUUGUGUUUGCCCUUCUGCACUUUGAAAUUAAAUCAUGUACAGUACCGUUACUGUGAGUUUCUUCAGUGCUUAUCAAUAAAGAGACGCUCUGCUCACCUGGCAUUAUCAACCACACCCCCACACCUGUGUAUGCUAAUCACAUAAACCAACAAUCUAAAGGGUAAAUAUGGAAUCAAGGAAGGGAGCGAUUCCAGUAACAAUAACGCCAUCAGGCCAGUGUAUGCCCUCUUGUCCUGUAUGCCCUCUUGUCCAUUAUGCCCUCUUGUCCGUUGGCCCAUUCCCAAUCACACUGCUGUGUUCUACGUUAGGUGUUUGAUUUCAACACUAGAGGACAGUAAAGGUAUGGCAAAAGUAAAAAGAACUGCUAAAGCUGCUUUUCUCAAGUGAAAGGUCUCAUUGUGUUUUAUUGUUUGAUCAAAUAUCCGUUGUCGUGUCCUCCACGGUGUGGCCAUCUUGUUUAUAUG